CUACGUAGCUCAGAGUUUGAUCCUGGCUCAGGAUGAACGCUGGCGGCGUGCAUAACACAUUCAAGUCGAACGGUGAUGAGGGCUUCGGUCCUCUGAUCAGUGGCGGACGGGUGAGUAACGCGUGAGCAACCUGCCUAUGUGUGUGGAAUAACACAGGGAAACUUGUGCUAAUACCGCAUAACGCAUUUGAAUCGCAUGGUUUGGAUGCCAAAGAGAAAUUGCACAUAGAUGGGCUCGCGUCUGAUUAGAUAGUUGGUGAGGUAACGGCUCACCAAGUCGACGAGCAGUAGCCGGACUGAGAGGUUGAACGGCCACAUUGGAACUGAGAUACGGUCCAG
rnacentral:rRNA from 1 species